UUUUUCCAAAUUUUUUACAUUUUUCCUCAAAAUUUUCCUAAAAUUCCCAGCACGUUCUUGCCCUUUGCGCCAAAAAUAUUUAACCCAAAUAGCAGUUCUACCGACUGAAUAGCAGUCCUGCCGACUGAAUAGCAGUCCUGCCGACUGAAUAGCAGUUCUACCGACUGAAUAGCAGUCCUGCCGACUGAAUAUAAUUAAUGGGGUGUCACCCCCCCACACACACACACCCGUACCUCCGGGCCUG